rnacentral:rRNA from 1 species
CCAAUAGCGUAUAUUAAAGUUGUUGCAGUUAAAAAGCUCGUAGUUGAAUUUCGGGAUCAAAGGAUCGGUCAUGCCUUGGUAUGUACUGGUUUUAUUGGUUCUCACCUUCUAAAGAACCAUGAUGUCAUUCAUUUGAUGUUAUGGGGAAUUAGGACUGUUACCUUGAAAAAAUUAGAGUGUUUAAAGCAAGCUUACGCUUGAAUACAUUAGCAUGGAAUAA